GAUGAAGAACGUAGCGAAAUGCGAUACGUAAUGUGAAUUGCAGAAUUCAGUGAAUCAUCGAGUCUUUGAACGCACAUGCGCCCCCUGGUAUUCCGGGGGGCAUGCCUGUCCGAGCGUCAUUGCUGCCCUCAAGCACGGCUUGUGUGUUGGGCCUCCGUCCUCCUCCCGGGGGACGGGCCCGAAAGGCAGCGGCGGCACCGCGUCCGGUCCUCGAGCGUAUGGGGCUUCGUCACCCGCUCUUGUAGGCCCGGCCGGCGCUUGCCGACACAUCAAUCUUUUUUCCAGGUUGACCUCGGAUCAGGUAGGGAUACCCGCUGAACUUAAGCAUAUCAAUAAGCGGAGGA
rnacentral:misc_RNA from 1 species